GGGACAGCCCGCCUGGCGCGCGGGGCUCUGCGCGCUGCGACCCUCCCCGGCAGUCCCGCCCGCCUCUCCUCGCCCUCUCUCUGCCUGGCCUCCAACUUUGCCUCUCGCUAUCCUCUCCGCCGGCGCCCCCUUUCCCGGCGGUCCCCGGGAUGGUCCCCGGCACCCCGAGGACGCCGAGGUUACGGGAAGUUCGGGGACUGGCGGGAGAAGGGGUUUGGGGGUGGUCCGCGGCGAGGGGCGCGGGGUGCAUCUUCUCUUCCUUUUAUGGGCUGCCACACUUGUGUAUCCCUUCUUCCUUGAAUUUAACCAGGAGUGAGCAGUGGACAGCUUCUUCCCUAUGAGAAGGAGGUGAAGCAGGACCUGAAAUCCCGUGCUCAGCUCCCACAUGCCCCGUGUCCAGGACAAGUCCUUUGCUGAAUCAGCGGCAGACACCACCCGGAGCCCUGCGGGAGCCUUUCCCUGUUCUUCCAGCAUGGAUCUGAAACUCCCUUCCCACUUUCUGCAGCCUCCCAGAGAUAGUUCAGGCUCCAGCCUCAUGUGAUAGCAUGAAGAGAAACUGGUUCCAACAGCUGUGUGCUCUGCUGCCCUCAUCCCAAACAACAGUUUAAAUGCACAAUUACGCUUUUCUCUAAGGCCCAAAAUAGGAUAGGAAAGAUCGUUUUGCUAUCCCUGAAUGCCUGUCACCCUUGUUUCGUAAGGUAAGAUUGGGAAGGGCUUGGCCAUUGCCCUUGCAGCUGAGAAACCAACUUUAGGAAUAAAGACACUCUCUCCAUGUCUG
rnacentral:lncRNA from 1 species